UUCCGGUUGAUCCUGCCGGACCUGACUGCUAUCGGAUUGAUACUAAGCCAUGCGAGUCUUUGCAGUAAUGCAAGGCAUACGGCUCAGUAACACGUAGUCAACUUACCCUAUGGACGAGGAUAAUCUCGGGAAACUGAGCAUAAUACUCGAUAGAUCAUAAUGCCUGGAAUGGUUUAUGGUUGAAAUGAUUCGUCGCCAUAGGAUGGGACUGCGGCCUAUCAGCUUGUUGGUGAGGUAAUGGCCCACCAAGGCGAUUACAGGUACGGGCUCUGAGAGGAGAAGCCCGGAGAUGGGUACUGAGACAAGGACCCAGGCCCUAUGGGGCGCAGCAGGCGAGAAAACUUUGCAAUGUGCGAAAGCACGACAAGGUUAAUCCGAGUGAUUUCUGCUAAAGAAAUCUUUUGCAAGUCAUAAAACCACUAGUGAAUAAGGGGUGGGCAAGUUCUGGUGUCAGCCGCCGCGGUAAAACCAGCACCUCAAGUGGUCAGGAGGAUUAUUGGGCCUAAAGCAUCCGUAGCCGGCUCUGUAAGUUUUCGGUUAAGUCCAUGUGCUCAACGCAUGGGCUGCCGAAAAUACUGCAUAGCUAGGGAGUGGGAGAGGUAGACGGUACUCAGUAGGAAGGGGUAAAAUCCUUUGAUCUAUUGAUGACCACCUGUGGCGAAGGCGGUCUACCAGAACACGUUCGACGGUGAGGGAUGAAAGCUGGGGGAGCAAACCGGAUUAGAUACCCGGGUAGUCCCAGCUGUAAACGAUGCAGACUCGAUGAUGCAUUGGCAUAUAGCCAGUGCAGUGUCGCAGGGAAGCCGUUAAGUCUGCCGCCUGGGAAGUACGUACGCAAGUAUGAAACUUAAAGGAAUUGGCGGGGGAGCACCACAAGGGGUGAAGCCUGCGGUUCAAUUGGAGUCAACGCCGGG
rnacentral:rRNA from 1 species